rnacentral:lncRNA from 1 species
UGAACUCUAUAAAUAGAGUUCUUCUCUGUAUUUUCAAACACACAGAAUAAUAUACAUCAUGUUUCAUCAGAGUUACAGAGCAUUCUCUGAAAACAGUAAACAAAGUUGCUUUCCACUUACCUGAGACGCUCCUCUAUCUUUUCUUCUUCAUCGUCUUCCUCUUUCCUUCAUCACGCAUGAACUCUAUAAAUAGAGUUCUUCUCUGUAUUUUCAAACACACAGAAUAAUAUACAUCAUGUUUCAUCAGAGUUACAGAGCAUUCUCUGAAAACAGUAAACAAAGUUGCUUUCCACUUACCUGAGACGCUCCUCUAUCUUUUCUUCUUCAUCNUCUUCCUCUUUCCUUCAUCACGGAGGGAGAUCGCCUCUUGCACAGUAACACGCAGAGCUUCAGCUUCG